rnacentral:rRNA from 1 species
UGUCCGGAUUUACUGGGCGUAAAGAGCGCGCAGGCGGUCGUUCAAGUCGCGUGUGAAAGCCCCCGGCUCAACUGGGGAGGGUCACGCGAUACUGAUCGACUCGAAGGCAGGAGAGGGUAGUGGAAUUCCCGGUGUAGUGGUGAAAUGCGUAGAUAUCGGGAGGAACACCAGUGGCGAAGGCGACUACCUGGCCUGUUCUUGACGCUGAGACGCGAAAGCGUGGGGAGCAAACAGG